rnacentral:rRNA from 1 species
CCUACGGGAGGCAGCAGUGAGGAAUAUUGGUCAAUGGGCGGAAGCCUGAACCAGCCAAGUAGCGUGCAGGAUGACGGCCCUACGGGUUGUAAACUGCUUUUAUACGGGAAUAACGCGCCUUACGUGUAGGGCUUUGCAUGUACCGUAUGAAUAAGGACCGGCUAAUUCCGUGCCAGACGCCGCGGUAAUACGGAAGGUCCGGGCGUUAUCCGGAUUUAGUGGGUUUAAAGGGAGCGUAGGCCGGAUGUCAAGCGUGCUGUGAAAUGUCCGGGCUCAACCCGGGCCUGGCAGCGCGAACUGGCGUGCUUGAGUGGGCGGAAAGCAGGCGGAAUGCGUAGUGUAGCGGUGAAAUGCUUAGAUAUGACGAAGAACCCCGAUUGCGAAGGCAGCUUGCUGCAGCGGAACUGACGCUGAUGCUCGAAAGCGCGGGUAUCGAACAGGAUUAGAUACCCUGGUAGUC